rnacentral:rRNA from 1 species
CCGCGUGAGGGAUGACGGCCUUCGGGUUGUAAACCUCUUUCAGCAGGGACGAAGCGCAAGUGACGGUACCUGCAGAAGAAGCACCGGCCAAUACGUGCCAGCAGCCGCGGUAAUACGUAGGGUGCAAGCGUUGUCCGGAAUUAUUGGGCGUAAAGAGCUCGUAGGCGGCUUGUCACGUCGACUGUGAAAACCCGGGGCUCAACUCCGGGCCUGCAGUCGAUACGGGCUGGCUUGAGUGCGGUAGGGGAGACUGGAAUUCCUGGUGUAGCGGUGAAAUGCGCAGAUAUCAGGAGGAACACCGGUGGCGAAGGCGGGUCUCUGGGCCGUAACUGACGCUGAGGAGCGAAAGCGUGGGGAGCGAACAGGAUUAGAUACCCUGGUAGUCCACGCCGUAAACGUUGGGCGCUAGGUGUGGGACCCUAUCCACGGGUUCCGUGCCGCAGCUAACGCAUUAAGCGCCCCGCCUGGGGAGUACGGCCGCAAGGCUAAAACUCAAAGGAAUUGACGGGGGCCCGCACAAGCGGCGGAGCAUGCGGCUUAAUUCGAUGCAACGCGAAGAACCUUACCAAGGCUUGACAUACACCGAAAACUCGUAGAGAUACGGGGUCCUUCGGGGCGG